GAAUGAUAAACAAGGAACGGAAACUCUCACUUUACAUCAGGAUCAAUGUUUAUCUGCUUUAGUAUCUUAAAAACUGUGACUAAAACAACACUUAUUCGAGGACAGUCAUUUCAGAAACAGGUAUCAGUAGUUCAAGGAUGAAACAUUCAUUCCCACCUCACCGAUAAUUUUCUGCUUAGUUUAAGAAAAGCGUACAAAGUUCCCUGUGCCUUGGCUUCCUCAUCUUUUAAACAAGCCUGAUAAUCCCUUACAUCUACUUAAUUUGCAGAAAAAGAUGAUGCUUUGGCUUCUAGAAACAACUAUAGAUGUACAGGGUUUCACCAUGAUGAGGUCCAUCUCCAUCUUUUCGAACACAUAACUUAAUCCAAAGGCAAAUAAGACCGUAUCAUCGAGGGUGAAAUUAUGAACAUCAUGAAGAAGACUGGAAGAAAAAGUUUUCUCUCUUCUUUGUCACAGCAGGUAAAUAAAUCCAUCAUAUUUCAUAGCUGGCUGUCCUUUUGAUGCCCUGUUGGAAAUGCCAUUCCACUGCGGAGACUAGAGAAAUGCAAUAAAAGUCAUUGCCACAAAAUCAUUAUGACAGCCAUAAAUACGGCUUCAGAUAAAAUAAAAUCGGCCACCUCUACAAAUGAGGAGUACGGGUGCACCUGUGAGUGUGCCUGUGUGUUGUGUGUGAUGUACAUCGGACAAAAGACCUGAGUAAAAUGGUGGGUUAGAAAAAUCCAUCUUCACUGCUGGAAAAAUAACCAACAGUGUGUACUACAAGGGAUAUAAAAUAUCACAUUAAUGUUAGAGGGACAGUAGCAUAUUUUCUAUUCGUGACAUAAAUCAAACUCUUAGCUAUUGGGAGAAAGGCAAACAUGUACGUGAAAUACAACUUAGCCCUGAUCUUGUAUGAAAUAAACAUUAUUCUUUCCCUCCUUUCAAAUUCCGACAUUAGGCAAAAAAUCCCUGAAAGUAGCAAGAUCUAGUUUCAUAAAGUCUUACGAACUUUCUGGAUGUUCCUAAACUAUGUGUUUGGCUAAAUGGCUUCCCCCACACAGAUAAAUUUCACAAUUCACAGGUUGGCCUCAGAAACUGCAGCCACAGCGAGAACCCAGAUACGUGUUCCGCUCACAGCUUCCUCUGUCCCAUCAAAUUAUGUACCCUGAUUCUUUUCAUUCAGCUAUGUAAAGGGAAGACUCCUUAAAACUUUCAUCAUUACUACAUUUUUCUCUUCUGAGUUUGUUCUUUCCACUCCCAAUCUUCAUACCUAUCAACUCCAGUCUCGGCUUUCAUUCAUAUUAAAAACGAACACAAAAAACGCCCCAGGAAACAAGCGGAUGAUGUGUAUUGGCACAUUUAAGUAGCAGGGAAUUCUCACAGGACUAACAACACUAGUCCUCGCGGACUGCAGCGCCCUCAGAGGCAGGCGGAGAAACCUGAUUAUCUACGUGAUUCACCAACUAAUAUGUAUUUCCUUUCCUUAAGUGUUGUGUGUUUUUUUUUAAGAUGUAAGCCAUGGCCAGACUAUCGAUCUUGUUAUCAGAAUGAGGGAUCAGAACCUGAAAAUUAUACUUGCCAGAGCUCAGUGAAAAAUGAAAUUACCACCAGAGUGUGCUGGAAUUUGUCCCAAAGGUUACCCAUUUCUAUCACAUUUUUUCUCUAAAUAUGAUUCCCUGUAGUGGUGUCACACAUGGUUGUAAACCCAAAAUAUAUUCUAAUCCUUUAAAAGAUGAAAAUAAUAACACUAACAUUCAUACAUUUAAAGUCCUUUUAUGUUAACAAAAUGAACUAAAAGAAAUACACCACUAUAAACAGUACAUUCUGGAUAUUUCAUUGGCUGGCGUGCCUUAUAUAUGCUACUAAGGGUACAGAAUGACCCCGAAACAUUAAAUGAUACUCCAAGUCUCAUUUUGAAGACACGUUCUUCAAGGUGUCUGUUUUCUGUUUUCACUAAGGUGGACAUGCCUAGAACUAUCAAACUAUCCCAUCUUAUCCCUCUCACCCUCACACACUGAUAAAUGCGCUAUGCCUCAAGAGUUCAUAAGAGUACUACUUUCCUCUCUCUACCCAUAUAUGUGGCAGGUUUUUGUCAUCUUACCAGAGACACCAAGAUAAAGUAAAAACUAUUGAAUUUCAAGAUGUAAUAGCAAGAGAACAGAAUCCUAUCACUACAUUUAACUUUAAAAUGAAAGUAAAAGUUUUUUUCUCAGUUGUUAAAGCUAUAAAAAAAAAGCAGACAGUUUCCUUUGACUGAAGCUAUACCAAUAACCUCAAUCUAAGUGCCAUUAUGACCAUGAAUAUCACUUAAAUGCUAAUGUGAUAGAUACAAGGAAGAGAGCUGUUAAGUCAGAAACCUUUCAAAAGACACUAUGUUGGCCAUAAGAAGCUACUGGAUACUGCUCUCAUUGCUGUGAACAAUCGAUUCAAAUCAACAUGAAAAAAUAAGCCCUAAUGGGCAAAGUAUGCUUAAAUUUAAUUCAGGUAAUACUCAAACUCCAAGUCCCAGAUACAAGGAAGAGGGGAAACACGGUACAAGAGUGUCUCUCAGGAAAGGAACCAUUCCAGGAUUUGAGACAAUGUGUGUUUGGCAGUCCAGUGUUCACGAUUUCCCAUUAGCCACAACUUUCUCCAGCACUGAAGUGAAAUGGCAAAAGAAAUGAGGAACAUAAACCAAAACUGUUACGUGCUCUUCAUUGUCAAGUCUGGAAAGAUCUCGCUGAGGGCCAAUUACGUUAUGAAGGUAAGGCCUUGAGAAGGAGUGAGGGGUGGGGGGAAAAAGGAAGUUUUACAAGGAACUCUUCUGAAAAAUGGUUUACGAUGGUAAAACAGGUAGAAUGGCUUCCUUCCCCAUCUUUCCUGUCAAGUUCGGGGGUUUUUUUUCUGCUGUUGCGAUUCUUUUGUUCUUUAAUUAACUUCCCUCCUUGUGGGGCUUGCUGCAGUUUGCUGAUGUAGUUCCCAACUGCUACCUUCCUUUGGCGACUCUUAUUAACGGACUGGCAAUGGCCGGGCAAAAUGCACUUAAGAAAGAAGAAAUCACCUUCUCUUGCCAAGAAGCACAUGUGUCCAGUACCUGAGAAAGAGCUCCACGGUCGCCGGCCAAGAGAAAUUCCAGUUUAACCUCCCCUUUCCAAAUCCACUGCAAAUAAGUGUGUGUAUGCGUGCCACUUGCGGAGAAUCCGCCUGACUCACCCCCGCUUUCGGCGUGCCAGGGAGGGAUGUGAAUGAUCGGUCUCCCGGCUGGCAGUGAAGUGGGGGCCGCGGUCUCGGUGGCCCCGAAAGUCCCCUCCCCCCUACCCGCCGGCCUCCCCCGCGAGUGUGUUUGGGGAUGUCUCCGUCUCUGGCAGGUGCCCGGCCACGCUGAGGCCACCAAAGCUCACCCAGGCAGGAACACACGUGUCCUGCGCCGGAGCCCAGCCCCCGGGAUACAAUGGCCCCACAGCCCGGGCAGGCACGCCAGUCCCUGAGCACACUGUUAGCAAGAAUCAGCAACCCCAAACUGGCGAUUUCUCAUUAUCAUCGUGAACCAGCCAUGAAUGGUCAGCGUUGGUGACUGGGAAAGGAAAAGUCCAAGAAACUUACAUUUUCCAAUAUUCUGCUGCAAAACACAUCAAAUGGGCCUUUACACAAACCAUAAAGGUCCUUAUAGGCGCCUAAAGGAAACAAAGAUGGGAGGAAGAACCUUUGUCUCAAUGACAGGCACCAUCUAGUGGCAGCAGGUGAUGAAAGCUCGUAUCAGCGUGAUGUCUCCAGCAAGAAUGAAGAUGCAAGUUUUUGAAUAGGUGGUUCAAGCAUUCCUGGUCUUGAAGAAGCAUGGUGCUCUUUGAUUCUAAAGCAAGAAGGUUGUACGUAGAAAAAUAAUACAACUAAUGGACCCCAUGAUGAUUAUUCAAAGAAUUAGGCUACAAAUCUGACCUGCAGGUAGAAUUAUUGCCACAAAAAGUUUUCUUAGUCUUUGUGUACUUCAUAUAGUCACACCUGUUUAUAAAGACCUCAGUGUUUGUUUGUUUUUUUCAUUUAAAGACCUCUGUAUUUAAGUUUCCUCAUUAUAAAAUCAAAAAGAGUGAUGGCUCGUCACUGAAUAUUAUCUAUAAAGGAUUUUGUUCAAUAGCAGAGCCCAUAAAUAUAAAUAUUAUUUCAGGUUUUUUAUUAUACUGUUUUACAAAAGAAAAAAGGAUAAAAGGUAUCAAUGAAUGCUUAUCCCUGAGUUGCAACAUUCAUACACAUCUUAUUUAGGGCCCUAAACAAAAGGAGACAGUAUAGACUAUAAACUUCAAAGAAUGAUCAGUAAUGUUUCUCAUUAUCAGCUUCUUUUUAAAUAUAUGACUAAUUAGUAAAUGUAUCACAAAAAUCUUGCCAUAUUGAAUAGGUAUUUUUCUUUGUGCUAGUAUUUUGACUUGUAGUUAUUUUGUUAUUAAACAAUAUUGCCAUCGAAUGAUCAUUAAAGUAGCCAAUCUGGAAUCAGUUUCAUUAACCAUUUCAGGAUAUAAGAGUAAGGAGAGAGAAAAUCACCUGUCUUUCCAUCCUGGGACUAGUCAGGGAUGAAACUGAAGAUAUAGACAAAGAGAGAAAAACAAAGAGAUCACUUAGAAACUUCAUUUUUGUUUCACUCACACUCCAGAAAUUACAUAUUCAGUCUGGCAAAUUCCUGAAUAAAUUCAGCCAACCUCAAUUUACAAUCUAUAUUUCCUCCUUCAGAUUCCAAGUUUAAAAAUAACCAUAGUCCCUUUUUAAGAGGAGUAGAGAAAGGUGAACACUGUUUUUGUAAGCUGUCAGCAUGACGAGCUAGGGAAAAUAAUUUUAUUUGGUUAAAUGUGUCAUAAGUUGCUUCACAGCUUAAACUGCUAAACUCUCAACCAUAUCCAACUGUCAUUUUUAAAACACAUACCUAACAUCAAAUAUUAAGAAAGUUUCUAGCAUCUAAAAACAGAAGCCUAUCUCUGUUCACGUCAAGGAAGACAAGUUAUUCAGUCUUUCUAGACCU